rnacentral:tRNA from 1 species
GAGGUCGGCUGGAGUAAAGCUGUUGCGCGCUUCGGGCGCGCGCAGGAAGCCGGUCACGGUUGCCGGUCCGGAGGCGGGCCUGAUCUCGCC